UCAAAUUAUAACGGCGGCGAUUAAUCCGUGCAAUCCUCGACCAGUUCCGGCCAAUUCCCAUAGUAAAAUCAGAAAUUAGCCCAUCUUCCUCCUCCACCUCACAAUUUCUCUGCCGCUUCUCCUUGCCCUAGAGAUUACCGGGCUAGAUCUCAACUUUCCAUCCAUGCUGCUAUCCAAUCUCCAUGUGUUCCUUUGAUUUAGAAAAGUUUACAUCGCAAGAGCAUUGGUGAGGUGGAGCAGGGGAGGUGGUUGGAUCGGGGCUGGUGGUGCUGCGAUGCCGAGGCAGUGGUCGGGGAGACGUCGUGCUGCAGCCGAGGAAGCUCGAGAGGCGGCGACUAAAGGACGCUCUACUGGAUGUGGAGAAUCUCCAUGGCGCGAUGGAUGAGGUGGGCGAGUAGAUGGGCAGCCGACGAGGUACACCGUACACAGGAGGCGGCGAUGCCAUGGACGGCGUAGAGCCGAGGUGCGGCGAGCAGAUGGGCAGUCGGCGAGGCGCACAGGAAGCGGCGGCGCCCUAGACAGCUGCAGAGGAGAGAGGCCACAAGGGGAGGAGGAGCUCAGGCGGAGCAACUCCUCGCUUCUGUCUCCAUGUCCAAAGUAGUAUCCCUCGAGGAUGCAGUUCUCAAAAAAUAUAGAUCACAAUCUAAUUUGUCCUCUCCUUGAUCCCCUUCUUCCAAGGAUUGAAUCUCUUCAGUUCCAAAAUUCAAAUCAGUGCACAAUCAUCAUCUUAAACAAACACAAGAUCCAAUCCCAGCCUCCCCGGAUGCUUUGCUCCUCAAUAUUUAAAUCCCCUCAGUUUCACCAAGCACCAUGAUUUUUCAUAAGAAUUGAGUGUUGGUCAGUUGGAAGAUGGAGAAAGUUUGAAACAGGUCGAGCGGUCGUCACCAUCGGCGAGGCUGCGAAGUGGACGAACAACACUCCCUUCACGCAGGCAGAGCAAGUGUUUUUCCAUGAAAGAGUCAAAUACUGGACAAGAAGCUCACACUUUGAUGUUUACAUGAGGCUGAGGCGCUGAGCGAUUUUGAUGUUUGAGAAAAGUUCCUACAAACAAACUUGAGCUCUCAAAGAACUGCAAGUGUCUGAUACAUCGCCAAACCUAAUUAAGUUGUGUUGUAGGGUUCCUGCGGGCGGACAGCAAGAGGCACACGCACGGUGGAAGCAGGUAGGUGGUGGAUGCGGCGACAACUGCGAGCUCCAUGUCUCCGGCAGCCGCGUCGCCUUCUUCGCUAGACAAUUAUAUUAUACAUCUGCUAAGGGUAACUACAAGGUGUUCUUCACAGAGCUCAAUUGAGCUAAAUUAGUCGAGUUGUUGGGUAAUCUAACUAAGCAUCCUUUUGGAACUAUGCUUUCAUCACGUAUUGGAAAGAUAGCAGAACAUACAUAUCAUCCACAUGCAAAGAACUGAAAUAAUUAAAGAUAGUGUGAAUUAGUACAAUUUACUGCAGAUUCGAGAACUAUUGUAAACAUUGCAAUGGAAUACUUCAGAUUUAGUAGAAUUUGUUGUAAGGUAAUGAUAUUACGUAUAUAAAUGAUUGAAAACAAUUUAAUUAGUUGUUUCCUUCUAUGUUAUUUUUAAAAUAUAAUUUCACAGAAUUAGCCUUUUGAUUCAUUUUGUUUUCUAUGAUAAAUUCGCGAUUACUAUGUCAAAUGUAAGAAACCUAUAUAUUAAGAUGCCUUUCUUCAUGUAAAUUGUGUAGACCUUAGAUUACUAGGUUGAUUGUAUUCUCUUAGCAUUGCUCAUCGUGCCUUGAAAGAAUGUGUUUCCAACAGUGCUAGAACUGUUUAAAAAUGUCAGGAAUGAUAUCGUCCGCAUCAUCAGUUGAUGAGAGAAAUAUGUGCAGAAGAUUUUUAUAGGAUCAUUUCAGGCUUAGACAUAAGUCGUAGAUAAUUGAUUUACAUCCAAUAACAACCUAGAAAGUGUUUGAAACUCAAGAUAUAAAAUUGACUUUGGAAUCAAGAAGUUUUCAUUGCAUAUGUAUAUAUGACUAUCAUAUAUGCUAGAUUAUCAUAUAAUUAUAUACGAUCAUUAAGUAUCCACUAUUCACAAUAUCAUGUACGACUAGAAGGUUUUUACAAGAUUGUGAUGUAGUGGCUGGGCAUGCCGGGCCACAUAUCAUGAAAUCCCUCCUCUCUUCUCCAUCUUGAUGAAUUCAUCGGAGAGCCACCAAUAUUUUUGCUUUAUUCGUAAUGUCUCAUCAAGACAUUUUUUUGGUUUUGUACAUUUUUCACGACACAACGCUUACCAGACUAUGAAUUAUAGGGAGUGAAGGAGAACCAACCAGCUGCGAUAAUCUGUGUGGCAUUUGCUGCCAACUAGCAGAGUUGUGUACAUAUAGAAAUCAACCACUGUCAGCCAAAUCUUUUUGAUGUUUAUAGAAGCUUUAUAGACGUUUUCCUAUGUAAAGGAUUUCGAGAUUGUACGUUUUUCUUCCAAUAUGUGCUAACUUUCAGAUUAUCUGCAUGUAUAACAAACAUUUCUUUUGUCCAGGAAUAAGAAUCAUAUCUUAUGAAGUGUAUAAUAUUUUAUUGGUAGAUUUGUAAGAUUUAAGUAUUGUUGGUUGUGCAAGAAAAUAGCUUCAUGUAUGGAUUAUUGAGUUACACAUGCUUCUGUUUAUGGUUUGUUUGUUGUAUUUGGAAACAGAUCUAGAUAGAUGAUCUUUAUAAUACAGAACAUUCAUAUUAAAUUUUCCUGUGUUUUUAGCCAUGUAAUCCAUAUUAUCAUUGUUUUUUUAAUAAUAUGUGUGAUCCUUCCUUUGGAGUUACAGUAUUCAGAUAGCAUAGUUUCCACUUACAGAAAAUAUGCUAAAAGAAUUUUCAGGUACACUUUCCGAGUGCCCUCACAGUGAUUUUCAUGUUUCUUGCAAGGGCUUCUACAUAAGGAUAAAUCUGUUCUAAAAAAAUAGUAGAUUUAUGUAGUCCCGUUAUGCGCAGCAAUAUUCACGCAUGCCUCUACAUCUACUUCAUUGAAUAGUAAUCUGCAAUCUUCAUUAGCAUAGAACAAAAAAAUCUGUGAGAAAACUUACACAUCUUUAUCUCAAAUCGUUAAAUGGGUUUAGGUACUACCAAUUUCAAUAUGGUCGCUUAUGUUUCUUUUGUCAUUGAUAGUUUCUCACAAGUCCUAACUUCCACAGGUAAGGAAUUGAUUUACCUCUUGAUAGUUUUCUUGCUUUUGGAAUUUAUCUUUCUGUUGCAACCAAAUUACAUUAUUAUUUUCUGUAAGUCGAAGUUGAAAUCCAUGGUUUCUCUAUGCUGGUAAAAAAUAAAGUUCCCCAUCUCUUUUCUUAACACAAUAUGCAUCUUAUCUUCUCUCAUGUAAGCAAUCUCGAUAAGACUCCUCUAUCUUUAAACCACACUCAAGUCCAUGGUUUCCUCGGCGCGACAAACUAUAGUUGGAUCAGUGUUUCAAAAGACGUGGCGUGGGCUUGAAGGAUACGCCGAAGGCAUCCGAUGGUCGGAGGGAUCGUCAAGGGGAGGUUCCCAGGGUUAUGAACUACCAAGUAAUUUGUAUUUUCUUUAUUAUUGUAUUUUUUGUUUGUCCUAAAUACUAGAUUCAUAUUUCUUGCUUUCCACUGUUUGUAAUAUGAUCCAAACUCCUCACGUGUUUAUGUUGCUUGAAUAUUUCAGACUGAGUUAGAAGUAAACCACAUGUCUUUCAUAGUA